GAGGGUAUAGCUCAGUGGUAGAGCACAUGCUUAGCAUGCACGAGGUCCUGGGUUCACUCCCUGGUACCUUCA
rfam:Camelus ferus unplaced genomic scaffold scaffold814, whole genome shotgun sequence.